AGANUUUGAUCCUGGCUCAGAUUGAACGCUGGCGGCAUGCCUUACACAUGCAAGUCGAACGGCAGCAUGAUCUAGCUUGCUAGAUUGAUGGCGAGUGGCGAACGGGUGAGUAAUACAUCGGAACGUGCCCUGUAGUGGGGGAUAACUAGUCGAAAGAUUAGCUAAUACCGCAUACGACCUGAGGGUGAAAGUGGGGGACCGCAAGGCCUCAUGCUAUAGGAGCGGCCGAUGUCUGAUUAGCUAGUUGGUGGGGUAAAGGCCCACCAAGGCGACGAUCAGUAGCUGGUCUGAGAGGACGAUCAGCCACACUGGGACUGAGACACGGCCCAGACUCCUACGGGAGGCAGCAGUGGGGAAUUUUGGACAAUGGGCGAAAGCCUGAUCCAGCAAUGCCGCGUGUGUGAAGAAGGCCUUCGGGUUGUAAAGCACUUUUGUCCGGAAAGAAAUGGCUCUGGUUAAUACCUGGGGUCGAUGACGGUACCGGAAGAAUAAGGACCGGCUAACUACGUGCCAGCAGCCGCGGUAAUACGUAGGGUCCAAGCGUUAAUCGGAAUUACUGGGCGUAAAGCGUGCGCAGGCGGUUGUGCAAGACCGAUGUGAAAUCCCCGAGCUUAACUUGGGAAUUGCAUUGGUGACUGCACGGCUAGAGUGUGUCAGAGGGGGGUAGAAUUCCACGUGUAGCAGUGAAAUGCGUAGAGAUGUGGAGGAAUACCGAUGGCGAAGGCAGCCCCCUGGGAUAACACUGACGCUCAUGCACGAAAGCGUGGGGAGCAAACAGGAUUAGAUACCCUGGUAGUCCACGCCCUAAACGAUGUCAACUAGUUGUUGGGGAUUCAUUUCCUUAGUAACGUAGCUAACGCGUGAAGUUGACCGNCUGGGGAGUCGGUCGCAAGAUUAAAACUCAAAGGAAUUGACGGGGACCCGCACAAGCGGUGGAUGAUGUGGAUUAAUUCGAUGCAACGCGAAAAACCUUACCUACCCCUGGCAUGCCACUUACGAACAGAGAUGCAUUACGCAACCCUUGUCUCUAGUUGCUACGAAAGGGCACUCUAGAGAGACUGCCGGUGACAAACCGGAGGAAGGUGGGGAUGACGUCAAGGCCUCAUGGCCCUUAUGGGUAGGGCUUCACACGUCAUACAAUGGUGCAUACAGAGGGUUGCCAAGCCGCGAGGUGGAGCUAAUCCCAGAAAAUGCAUCGUAGUCCGGAUCGUAGUCUGCAACUCGACUACGUGAAGCUGGAAUCGCUAGUAAUCGCGGAUCAGCAUGCCGCGGUGAAUACGUUCCCGGGUCUUGUACACACCGCCCGUCACACCAUGGGAGUGGGCUUUACCAGAAGUAGUUAGCCUAACCGCAAGGAGGGCGAUUACCACGGUAGGGUUCAUGACUGGGGUGAAGUCGUAACAAGGUAACC
rnacentral:rRNA from 1 species